GCGGUUAAGGCGCGGGUUGCCGGGCUCCCACGGCCCAAGCGUGGCCUUCUCAGUGGUCGUUGGGUCUAGAACUCCUCUUGAGGUGAUAGACUAGGAGAAGCUGCUGGCAUCACCAUCAGCCGGCUGGGAGUUCCACCUCUUGCUUCCUUAAGACAUCAGUAAAUGGAUAACCACAGACAGUGAUUCAGGCUUGAAGAAGGCACAAAUGUCCCUGCAUGGUUGCCAGGUCCCCAGACUACAGUCCCUGAAGCCUUGGUAGACCUUGAUUGGACCUUGGACCCCUUGAG